CCUACGGGAGGCAGCAGUGGGGAAUCUUGCGCAAUGGGCGAAAGCCUGACGCAGCCAUGCCGCGUGAAUGAUGAAGGUCUUAGGAUUGUAAAAUUCUUUCACCGGGGACGAUAAUGACGGUACCCGGAGAAGAAGCCCCGGCUAACUUCGUGCCAGCAGCCGCGGUAAUACGAAGGGGGCUAGCGUUGCUCGGAAUUACUGGGCGUAAAGGGAGCGUAGGCGGAUAGUUUAGUCAGAGGUGAAAGCCCAGGGCUCAACCUUGGAAUUGCCUUUGAUACUGGCUAUCUUGAGUAUGGGAGAGGUUAGCGGAACUCCGAGUGUAGAGGUGAAAUUCGUAGAUAUUCGGAAGAAACACCAGUGGCGAAGGCGGCUAACUGGCCCAUUACUGACGCUGAGGCUCGAAAAGCGUGGGGAGCAAAACAGGAUUAGAUACCCUGGUAGUCCACGCCGUAAAACGAAUGAGUGCUAGUUGUCGGCAUGCAUGCAUGUCGGUGACGCAGCUAAACGCAUUAAAGCACUCCGCCUGGGGAGUACGGUCGCAAAGAUUAAAAACUAACAAAAUAGAAAUUGACGGG
rnacentral:rRNA from 1 species